AGGAUUAGUUAGGUUUUUAAACUUGAAUUCAAAAUUAAAACCAAUUUGAAAAUUAAAUUCAAAAUUCAACUCUAAUUCAAACUCAAAACUUAAACUAAUCCUAUCCUUAUCUAUAAGGGAGAAAGGGGUGGCAUUAAAACUCUUUUGGUGUGAAAAUUCAACACGCAAAAUAUGAAUUUGCAUGAAGAACGGUGUGGCAUGG
rnacentral:lncRNA from 1 species